UGCCUUAGUAGCGGCGAGUGAAGCGGCAAUAGCUCAAAUUUGAAAUCUGGCACCUUCGGUGUCCGAGUUGUAAUUUGAAGAAGGUAUCUUUGGUUUUGGCUCUUGUCUAUGUUCCUUGGAACAGGACGUCACAGAGGGUGAGAAUCCCGUGCGAUGAGAUGCCCAAUUCCAUGUAAAGUUCCUUCGACGAGUCGAGUUGUUUGGGAAUGCAGCUCUAAGUGGGUGGUAAAUUCCAUCUAAAGCUAAAUAUUGGCGAGAGACCGAUAGCGAACAAGUACUGUGAAGGAAAGAUGAAAAGAACUUUGAAAAGAGAGUGAAAAAGUACGUGAAAUUGUUGAAAGGGAAGGGCUUGAGGUCAGACUUGGUUUUACCAGGCCAGCAUCAGUUUGGAUGGCAGGAUAAUAGCUUAGGAAUGUGGCACUGCUUCGGUAGUGUGUUAUAGCCUGGGUUGAUACUGCCUGUCUAGACUGAGGACUGC
rnacentral:rRNA from 1 species